UAACAAAUGUGGCUUCCCUGAGUUCUAUGACCAUUCCAAUGUGAUCAUUUCACAGCAGCACAGUUCUAGAAGAGCUGCUACCUGGGAACCUCUGGCACUUCCAAGCAGACUGGCUCUCUCAUGGAACCAGCCAUCAUUUGGAGAGCUGAACUUGCUUCUUCAGUAAAUGUUAUAGCUGCUAUUUGAAGAGCAAAAGAAAGAAACCACAGGGAUAACUUAAGAGAGGAGCACAAGUAUUUGGAAUGCAAUGCAAUUUCACCCAGAAGAUAUUUAUAGAGGAUCUUCCACAUGCCAGCACUGUACUUGGCUCUGGGAAACAAAGAAGCAUGCGACGGUCUGGCCAUCCUGUGGAGAAGCUGACCUGCCAGCAUUCCCCGGACACUAUGUGAGAAUCCAACAGCACCCACCACCAGAGGAGGGGAAGCCACUCAUGCUGUAAACUCAGAGCGAACAGGACACACUUGAUCAACAAGCAUGGAACAUAUCCUACUCCAGGUACACCGUCUCCUGAGAUGGGCUGGUCUCCGGAGAAAUAUCCCUCCCUCUAGCUCCAUACCUUUACUAAUUGUUACUAAUGACAGGAAACCUAAGAUGAAUUGCUGCAUGUUCAAAAUUAAC